GAUUGCACUCCAGCCUGGGCAACAAGAGCAAAAUUUCAUCUCGGGAACAAAAGCAAAGAAUACCAUAAUACACAUUCUACCUCAAAUAGAAAGCUUUGCAACUACAGAUGAAUCCCAUUCUUUAACCACCAGAGGUAACUACUAAAGUAGAAUUUUUAGUGUCUGUCAUCCAUUGAUACUUGCUGCAAGAGUAGCUUGAUUUUUUUUUUUUUUAGGGAAAAUUUAGUAUUAAUUUCCAUACAGGUUUUUAGGAUUUUGUGUAUUUACUUAUAAUCUACCUUUUCCAGAAGGGAAAAUGCUUACAUUUAUUUUGCAUUUUUCAUUUGUGGAUAUCUGUGACAGACUUAAGGUUUAUUCUGAAGCAUGCAGCCUAAUAAUUAGGGCCUAACGUAACAACAUCAUUUUUUAAACUAAUUUUUACACUUCAAAUAGAUGAUGAACAACAUGGGUGGUGAUGAGGAUGUAGAUUUACCAGAAGUAGAUGGAGCAGAUGAUGAUUCACAAGACAGUGAUGAUGAAAAAAUGCCAGAUCUGGAGUAAGGAAUAUUGUCAUCACCUGGAUUUUGAGAAAUAACUUCUCUGCAAGAUUUCAUAAUUGAGAGAAUUCCUGAGUUGAUAGCUCUAAAGGCAGAUGCUGUAUUUGCCUACUUUAACCCAUUUUUCAACCUGUUUGUUUUUUAAAAGGCUUCACUAAGGGUUGAUAUGUACCAUUGUAUGGGGCAAUUUUAAGUCAGCUAAGGCAAUAACCUUAUGCAUGAACAUUUCCCAGACUUUCAUGAAGCUGUUGAGGUCCUAGGCAAUUGAUGCAGCAGUAAUGAUAAAAACAUUUCGCCUAAGUCUCCUUUUCUUCAUAACAUAGAUACUGACAUGAUAGGAAGCUUAGGGAAAUAAAACUAGAGUAUAGAACAUGGAUUCAGAAGUGGCUGGAACAAAUUGGCUGACACCUUACUGGUGGUAACUUGCUCUUCCUCUAGCGUUACCCUUCAGGAUUGUUCCACUAAAGUUUAUUUUUCAAAAAAAAAAAAAAAAAAAUGUACUUCACAUUAUUCUAUGUAAGUGAUCACUUGUCAAUGUUCCAGGUGUAUCUUAGCUAAAACUAGAGAAUGCCCUAACUUAGAUGGUUUUUGAAGCCUAUACAUUUGGUAUUGUUUGACCCUUAAGCUUUUACAUCUCUUAGCAUGGAGGACGAAGAAAGCUGUACAUUGUUGCUUGAAAGUCUGUACAUUUAGACCAGAUUUGUAUUUGCACUGUCAGUAUGGCAAAUGAGUGAAAAAAAAUGUUUAAUACACUAUUGGAUUUUUUAUUUCUUUUUUUUUAUUCAGCUUAUACAAGGGCUGAAAACCUCAAUUUAUGUUCAUGACAGUGGGGAUUUUUUUAAAUGUCUACAUUCUUUCUAAUAAACUGUUGGAAGACUUCUUGGCUGUCCUUUUAAGUGUCUGGCUUACUGUAAUUUUUAUGUAUUUAAUGGAAUGGAGUUAUUUUUGAGGAAGAAUUUGGGAUUAUUCCUCUGUUUGAAAAAAGAGGCUUGCUGUAAUGUCACAGGAAACCUUUUUAAAGUGGAUCUGUAAUAGAAUAUUGUAGAUACACUUUGCAGCAGUUGGAAAAGAAAGUGUUGUGAUUUGAUUGAAAUAAAACUAAAUGUGUUGUCCUCCUCUAAAUCUUU